rnacentral:rRNA from 1 species
CAGCUAGUUGGUGAGGUAAAGGCUCACCAAGGCGACGAUCGGUAGCUGGUCUGAGAGGACGACCAGCCACACUGGGACUGAGACACGGCCCAGACUCCUACGGGAGGCAGCAGUGGGGAAUCUUGGACAAUGGGGGAAACCCUGAUCCAGCCAUGCCGCGUGAGUGAUGAAGGCCCUAGGGUUGUAAAACUCUUUCGGCGGGGACGAUAAUGACGGUACCCGCAGAAGAAGCUCCGGCUAACUUCGUGCCAGCAGCCGCGGUAAUACGAAGGGGGCUAGCGUUGUUCGGAAUUACUGGGCGUAAAGCGCGCGCAGGCGGUCCUUCAAGUCAGAGGUGAAAGCCCAGAGCUCAACUCUGGAACGGCCUUUGAGACUAGAGGACUUGGGUACGGGAGAGGUGAGU